UACGGGGGGGGCAAGCGUUGUUCGGAAUUACUGGGCGUAAAGGGCUCGUAGGUGGCCAACUAAGUCAUACGUGAAAUCCCUCAGCUUAACUGGGGAACUGCGUGUGAUACUGGAUGGCUUGGAUUUGGGAGAGGGAUGCGGAAUUCCAGGUGUAGCGGUGAAAUGCGUAGAUAUCUGGAGGAAUACCGGUGGCGAAGGCGGCAUCCUGGACCGGCAUUGACGCUGAGGAGCGAAAGCCAGGGGAGCAAACGGG
rnacentral:rRNA from 1 species